rnacentral:rRNA from 1 species
GACAGAGGGUGCAAACGUUGUUCGGAUUUACUGGGCGUAGAGCGCGUGUAGGCGGCUUGGCAAGUCGGAUGUGAAAGCCCACGGCUCAACCGUGGAAGCGCAUCCGAAACGGCCUCGCUCGAGUCUCGGAGAGGAAGGUGGAAUGCUUGGUGUAGAGGUGAAAUUCGUAGAUAUCAAGCAGAACACCUGCGGCGAAGGCGGCCUUCUGGACGAUGACUGACGCUGAGACGCGAAAGCGUGGGGAGCAAACAGG